rnacentral:rRNA from 1 species
UGGGGAAUAUUGGACAAUGGGGGGAACCCUGAUCCAGCAAUGCCGCGUGUGUGAAGAAGGCCUGAGGGUUGUAAAGCACUUUCAGUGGGGAGGAGGGUUUAUUGGUUAAGAGCUGAUGGAUUGGACGUUACCCACAGAAGAAGCACCGGCUAACUCCGUGCCAGCAGCCGCGGUAAUACGGAGGGUGCGAGCGUUAAUCGGAAUUACUGGGCGUAAAGGGUGCGUAGGUGGUUGAUUAAGUUAUCUGUGAAAUUCCUGGGCUUAACCUGGGACGGUCAGAUAAAACUGGUUAACUCGAGUAUGGGAGAGGGUAGUGGAAUUUCCGGUGUAGCGGUGAAAUGCGUAGAGAUCGGAAGGAACACCGGUGGCGAAGGCGGCUACCUGGCCUAAUACUGACACUGAGGCACGAAAGCGUGGGGAGCAAACAGGAUUAGAUACCCCGGUAGUCC